rnacentral:rRNA from 1 species
GAUGAACGCUGGCGGCGUGCCUAAUACAUGCAAGUCGAGCGAACAGACGAGGAGCUUGCUCCUCUGACGUUAGCGGCGGACGGGUGAGUAACACGUGGAUAACCUACCUAUAAGACUGGGAAAACUUCGGGAAACCGGAGCUAAUACCGGAUAAUAUAUUGAACCGCAUGGUGCAAUAGUGAAAGACGGUUUUGCUGUCACUUAUCGAUGGAUCCGCGCCGCAUUAGCUAGUUGGUAAGGUAACGGCUUACCAAGGCAACGAUGCGUAGCCGACCUGAUAGGGUGAUCGGCCACACGGGAACUGAGACACGGUCCAGACUCCUACGGGAGGCAGCAGUAGGGAAUCUUCCGCAAUGGGCGAGAGCUUGACGGAACAGCGCCGCGUGAGUGAUGAAGGUCUUCGGAUCGUAAAACUCUGUUAUUAGGGAAGAACAAAUGUGUAAGUAACUAUGCACGUCUUGACGGUACCUAAUCAGAAAGCCACGGCUAACUACGUG